rnacentral:lncRNA from 1 species
AAGAAAGGAAGGAAGGAAGAAGGAAAGAAAGGAAGAAGGAAAGGAAGAAAGGAAAAGGAAAGGAAUAAGGGAGGGAAGGAGGGAAGAAAGGAGGGAAAGGAAGAGAGGGAGGGAGGGAGGGAAGGGAAGGGAGGGAGGGGAGAAAUAAAUCCUAAAUUUUUAGCGUUUGCCAGCUUCUGCAGUGUAAAUACUCCCAUCACGGCUCAUUUCGAGCCACCAAGGUGACCACUGAAAGUGGAGUUCAGAGGGGUAGGAGUAGCCCACUCUCCUGUGUCAGUGGGAGCCAGCUUCAGCACAUCGUGGUCUUCCUUUCAUUUGGCUUUGAGUGGCGUGGCUAAUGGGUUUGUCACUCAUUGCUUUUGUUUCCUCCCAGUUAAAAUGCUUCACUUGCUUACUAAAAGCCUUUGACAUUAAUCAAGUUCUUCCUGCCAAGCUGGGCCCUACUUGGACUGUCCAGGAGUGAGUUAGGGAAGACAGCCACCACCUGCUCCCCUGAGGGCCCACUGGACAGCCAACUCAUGAAAGUCCAAUACCAUGCCAGGCCUGGGGUGGGGCAUCUAUCAACAGAAAGGCAUUGUCUUUAAUUUUGAAACGCUAAAGGUCUGCUGUCAGGAAACAAUGAACAUUCUCAUAAGAAACACUAUUGGAAGAAUGCCAGAGUCUAGACAGAGGCCUCAGUGCUGAGUGACAGAGCUUCAUGGGACUUUCAAACCAUUUGGUUCCACUCCAUUGUUUUACAGGAAAAAGCUAAGACCCUGGGAGGGUGAGUGGCUUGCUAAAGGUCACAAAGUUAUUUAGUGGCAGAGGUGGGAUUGGAAUCCAUCUUUCUUGACAUCUAGAAGCCAAUUCUUUUGCUGCAGAAUGGGCUGUUGGAAGGUAUAAUAGCUUAUCGAACCAGGGAAAGAUAGGCAUCUCCCUUCCUCCUGCUAAGGUGAUCAACUCAUCCCCAUUUUCCUAUGAGUUUUCUAUUAGCACUGAAAGUCCUUCCCUGUAACCCAGAAAAACCCUAAGUCGAGGCAGACCCCGAAAGCUGAUUCCUGGUCCCCUUCUCUCAUUCCCUUCCUUCCCUGUCCUUUUCUUCCUUCCAUCAUACAUUAAUGGUGCCUGCCCAUAAAGACCUUAGUGUCGAAGAAAGAAAUGUUGAGAAGAGGAUUGUGGAGGCUGUCCUCCACACCUACCCGAUUUGGGCUAGAGUUCACUCAGAACACUGUAACCUCUUUUACUAAUGCCUCCACUUCUUGGUCUGCCUUUUGAAACAGAAAUAGAUUUAUUGGAUUGUAAAAGCAAGCAACCAAUGUAGAUUGUUAAAGAAAUUAAAUAAUAGAGAUGUAUGUGUGGUAGUAAAUGGAUGUCUUCAGAUAAACCCAGCAGCUGGACUAACAGGAUAAUGUUUAUCCUUGAAGAUAAUUUCAUUUAUCCAUCUGUCUAUCAUCUGUGUAUCUAUAUAUUGCUAUACCAUAUUGUAUAUUACAGAUUCCCAUUCUGGUAAAAAUUUGACCAUAUUAAUCAUGUUACUUUGUAAUCUGGGAUUUUCAUUUAAAAACAUAUCAUGGAUGUCUUUCCACGUUAGCCAUUUAAAG